rnacentral:rRNA from 1 species
GAUGAACGCUGGCGGCGUGCUUAACACAUGCAAGUCGAACGAUGAAGCCCAGCUUGCUGGGUGUAUUAGUGGCGAACGGGUGAGUAACACGUGAGUAACCUGCCCUUAACUCUGGGAUAAGCCUGGGAAACUGGGUCUAAUACCGGAUAGGAGCGCCUACCGCAUGGUGGGUGUUGGAAAGAUUUAUCGGUUUUGGAUGGACUCGCGGCCUAUCAGCUUGUUGGUGAGGUAAUGGCUCACCAAGGCGACGACGGGUAGCCGGCCUGAGAGGGUGACCGGCCACACUGGGACUGAGACACGGCCCAGACUCCUACGGGAGGCAGCAGUGGGGAAUAUUGCACAAUGGGCGAAAGCCUGAUGCAGCGACGCCGCGUGAGGGAUGACGGCCUUCGGGUUGUAAACCUCUUUCAGUAGGGAAGAAGCGAAAGUGACGGUACCUGCAGAAGAAGCACCGGCUAACUACGUG